GUGUCUGGCGCCAGCUGCGACCACAUUACGGCACGCCAGCGGACAGGCGCCACCUGCGCCCUGAGUCUCUGCGGAAGGCAGACGUCGAGUGUCCCGUGGCCGUCUGGUGUUCCAUGAAAUGACUGACCUCUGCAGCGCCGUUCGUCUUCUUCUGCUACUGCUCUUGUUGGGCGCAUCUUUCUCCGAGGCCGCUGACACAGGAAGCCAGUCUACUGCGGCCGUGGAAGCGUCGCGCUGGCUGUGCAACAACACGCAGGUGGAGCCUGGCGGGCGGGAGGUGAGCUGCGGAGACGGCUGGUGCGUGGCGGAGAGUGCUCUGUGCAACG